rnacentral:lncRNA from 1 species
UGCAGGCCAUGUAGUAGCAGCAGCAGCAGUCGCAAGCAUCUGUGCGGCUGGAAAGAGCAUCGUCGGAGUUCCAAAAUUCGAUGAUCGGAUGGCUCACUUGGGCCAAUCACCCUGUCUUCCCCGGAAAGGGGAAGCAGGAGGUGGAGAGCCCUCUGUCUGAUCACGAUUCCACCCCCGGAGGGUCCCUACCUCCGUUCUGUCAGAAGACCCUUGAGACUCGCAGUCGAGUGGAUCUUCUGGAUCAGAGAUUUCAGGAGAUAAACCAAC